rnacentral:rRNA from 1 species
AGCAGCCGCGGUAAUUCCAGCUCCAAUAGCGUAUAUUAAAGUUGUUGCAGUUAAAAAGCUCGUAGUUGAAUUUCGGGAUCAUCAGGUUGGUCGUGCCUCUGGUAUGUACUGAUUUCGAUGGUUCCUCCUUCUUGAAGAACCGUAAUGCCAUUAAUUUGGUGUUGCGGGGAAACAGGACUGUUACUUUGAAAAAAUUAGAGUGUUUAAAGCAGGCAAUCGCUUGAAUACAUUAGCAUGGAAUAAUGAAAUAGGACGUUCGAUCCUAUUUUGUUGGUUUCUAGGAUUGACGUAAUGAUUAAUAGGGAUAGUUGGGGGCAUUAGUAUUCAAUUGUCAGAGGUGAAAUUCG